UACGGAGGGGGCUAGCGUUGUUCGGAAUUACUGGGCGUAAAGCGCGCGUAGGCGGCUUUGUAAGUUAGAGGUGAAAGCCCGGGGCUCAACUCCGGAACUGCCUUUAAGACUGCAUCGCUAGAAUUGUGGAGAGGUAAGUGGAAUUCCGAGUGUAGAGGUGAAAUUCGUAGAUAUUCGGAAGAACACCAGUGGCGAAGGCGACUUACUGGACACAUAUUGACGCUGAGGUGCGAAAGCGUGGGGAGCAAACAGG
rnacentral:rRNA from 1 species